AUUGAACGCUGGCGGCAGGCCUAACACAUGCAAGUCGAGCGGAUGAAGGGGGCUUGCUCCUGGAUUCAGCGGCGGACGGGUGAGUAAUGCCUAGGAAUCUGCCUGGUAGUGGGGGAUAACGUCCGGAAACGGGCGCUAAUACCGCAUACGUCCUGAGGGAGAAAGUGGGGGAUCUUCGGACCUCACGCUAUCAGAUGAGCCUAGGUCGGAUUAGCUAGUUGGUGGGGUAAAGGCCUACCAAGGCGACGAUCUGUAACUGGUCUGAGAGGAUGAUCAGUCACACUGGAACUGAGACACGGUCCAGACUCCUACGGGAGGCAGCAGUGGGGAAUAUUGGACAAUGGGCGAAAGCCUGAUCCAGCCAUGCCGCGUGUGUGAAGAAGGUCUUCGGAUUGUAAAGCACUUUAAGUUGGGAGGAAGGGCAGUAAGUUAAUACCUUGCUGUUUUGACGUUACCAACAGAAUAAGCACCGGCUAACUUCGUG
rnacentral:rRNA from 1 species